GUUGCUUCUUCACUUGCUGAGUGUGUUGGAAAGUUUUCAAGCAUUCACAUAUUUAAAGUUGAAAACUAUAGGAGCUCUUUUUUUAAGAGAAUGAAACGUAUAUGGAACGACAGCAGAUUUUUUAUGGGAAAAAACAAAGUAAUGGCUCGCGCUUUAGGUCGUAAUAUUGAAGAAGAACUGGAAGAAAACCUUCAUAAAGUGUCAGGAUCUUUACACGGAGAAGUUGGUUUGCUUUUUACUAAUAGGACUUUGGAAGAAGUCAAAGAAUUUUUUGAAAAAAAUACUUUCCCGGAUUACCCUAGGAGCGGAAACAUAGCCACUGAAGACUUCAUGUUAAGUGAAGGCCCACUUGAACAACUUCCGGCUAGUAUGGAAUUUCAACUUCGUAAAUUAGGACUUCCUGCUUGCUUAAAAGCUGGAAAAUUAUUUUUAGAAAAAGAUUUUCAAGUUUGCUCAAAAGGAGAU